rnacentral:rRNA from 1 species
UAUGUAUAUGGCUACAAUGUCAAUGCAUCAUAUCCCAUUAGAACUCUGCAGUUAAGCACACUUGAGCUAGAGUAGUAUUAGGAUGGGUGAACUCCCGAGAAGUCUUAGUGUUUUACAUGU